rnacentral:rRNA from 1 species
GUGGGGAAUAUUGGACAAUGGGGGGAACCCUGAUCCAGCCAUGCCGCGUGUGUGAAGAAGGCCUUUUGGUUGUAAAGCACUUUAAGCGAGGAGGAGGCUACCGAGAUUAAUACUCUUGGAUAGUGGACGUUACUCGCAGAAUAAGCACCGGCUAACUCUGUGCCAGCAGCCGCGGUAAUACAGAGGGUGCAAGCGUUAAUCGGAUUUACUGGGCGUAAAGCGCGCGUAGGUGGCCAAUUAAGUCAAAUGUGAAAUCCCCGAGCUUAACUUGGGAAUUGCAUUCGAUACUGGUUGGCUAGAGUAUGGGAGAGGAUGGUAGAAUUCCAUGUGUAGCGGUGAAAUGCGUAGAGAUCUGGAGGAAUACCGAUGGCGAAGGCAGCCAUCUGGCCUAAUACUGACACUGAGGUGCGAAAGCAUGGGGAGCAAACAGGAUUAGAAACCCGGGUAGUCC